CAGUAGCCGCGGGAAUACGGAGGGUGCAAGCGUUAUCCGGAUUUAUUGGGUUUAAAGGGUCCGUAGGCGGACUUAUAAGUCAGUGGUGAAAGCCUGUCGCUUAACGAUAGAACUACCAUUGAUACUGUAAGUCUUGAGUAUAUUUGAGGUAGCUGGAAUAAGUAGUGUAGCGGUGAAAUGCAUAGAUAUUACUUAGAACACCAAUUGCGAAGGCAGGUUACCAAGAUAUAACUGACGCUGAGGGACGAAAGCGUGGGUAGCGAACAGGAUUAGAUACCCCGGUAGUCCCUGUCUCUUAUAC
rnacentral:rRNA from 1 species